rfam:Puccinia graminis f. sp. tritici CRL 75-36-700-3 supercont2.24 genomic scaffold, whole genome shotgun sequence.
GCAUCUGUAGCCUAGUUGGUAAAGGAAGCACUCUUGUAUGUGACUCAGCAUUGCUGAGGUUGUGAGUUCAAAUCUCACCAGGCACA